GACGAACGCUGGCGGCGUGCUUAACACAUGCAAGUCGAACGGAAAGGCCCUGCUUUUGUGGGGUGCUCGAGUGGCGAACGGGUGAGUAACACGCGAGUAACCUGCCCUUGAAUUUGGGAUAACUUCAGGAAACUGGGGCUAAUACCGGAUAGGAGCUCCUGAUGCAUGGUGGGGGUUGGAAAGUUUCGGCGGUUGGGGAUGGAAUCGAGGGUUAUCCGCGUGUUGGUGGGGUAGUGGCUUACCAAGGUUUUGACGGAUAGCCGGCCUGGGAGGUGGACCGGCCACAUUGGGCCUGAGGUACGGCCCAGACUCCUACGGGAGGCAGCAGGGGGGAAUAUUGCGCAGUGGGCGGAAGCCUGAUGCAGCAACGCCGCGUGCGGGAUGACGGCCUUCGGGUGGUAAACCGCUUUCGCCUGUAACGAGGCGUGAGUGACGGUAAUGGGUAAGGAAGCACCGGCUAACUACGUG
rnacentral:rRNA from 1 species